UACAGAGGGUGCAAGCGUUGUUCGGAAUUAUUGGGCGUAAAGGGCGCGUAGGCGGCCUGGCAAGUGGAUGGUGAAAUCCCUCGGCUUAACCGAGGAACUGCCAUCCAGACUGCUUGGCUUGAGACCGGGAGAGGUGAGUGGAAUUCCCAGUGUAGCGGUGAAAUGCGUAGAUAUUGGGAGGAACACCGGUGGCGAAGGCGGCGACCUGGGUAGAUACUGACGCUGAGGUGCGAAAGCGUGGGGAGGAAACAGG
rnacentral:rRNA from 1 species